GCCGACCCCAGGUCAGGCGGGAUUC
rnacentral:rRNA from 1 species